rnacentral:rRNA from 1 species
AACGAACGCUGGCGGCGUGGAUAAGACAUGCAAGUCGAACGCGAUUUUUCCGGUUAGCAAUAACUGGAAAAAUUGAGUGGCGAAUGGGUGCGUAACACGUGGGAAUUUAUCCGGAAGUGGGGGAUAGCUUGCCGAAAGGCAAAUUAAUACCGCAUAUGCCCGUAAGGGCAAAGUGGGGGACCGCAAGGCCUCACGCUAUCGGAGGAGCCCGCGCCCUAUCAGCUAGUUGGUGAGGUAAUGGCUCACCAAGGCUUAGACGGGUAGCUGGUCUGAGAGGACGACCAGCCACACUGGAACUGAGACACGGUCCAGACACCUACGGGUGGCAGCAGUCGAGGAUUUUUCUCAAUGGGGGCAACCCUGAAGGAGCGACGCCGCGUGGAGGAUGAAGGGCUUCGGCUCGUAAACUCCUGUCACCGACGAACAAGGCAUCCGGAUUAAUAAAUCGGAUGCUUGAUGGUAGUCGGAGAGGAAGGGGCGGCUAACUCUGUGCCAGCAGCCGCGGUGAUACAGAGGCCCCAAGCGUUGUUCGGAUUUACUGGGCGUAAAGGGUGUGUAGGGGGUCGUGUAAGUUUGACGUGAAAUCCCGUUGCUCAACAACGGAACUGCGUCGAAUACUGCUCGGCUGGAGGUUCGGAGAUGAGGGCGGAAUUCUCGGUGUAGCGGUGAAAUGCGUAGAUAUCGAGAGGAACGCCGAUGGCGAAAGCAGCCCUCAAGACGAAGUCUGACCCUGAAACACGAAAGCCAGGGGAGCAAACGGGAUUAGAUACCCCGGUAGUCCUGGCAGUAAACGGUGCUCAUUAGAUGUAGCGGAUUCGACCCCGCCUGUGUCGAACCUAACGGAUUAAAUGAGCCGCCUGGGAAGUACGGUCGCAGAUUAAACUCAAAGAAAUUGAC